rnacentral:tRNA from 1 species
AGGAUUAUAGUUAACCAUAACACCCGACUUGCAUUCGGGAGGUGUUGAAACUUCUUCAACUUAUCUUA